rnacentral:rRNA from 1 species
UCGGGAAUUUUGGGCAAUGGGCGAAAGCCUGACCCAGCAACGCCGCGUGAAGGAUGAAGUAUUUCGGUAUGUAAACUUCGAAAGAAUAGGAAGAAUAAAUGACGGUACUAUUUAUAAGGUCCGGCUAACUUCGUGCCAGCAGCCGCGGUAAUACGAAGGGGGCUAGCGUUGUUCGGAUUUACUGGGCGUAAAGCGCGUGUAGGCGGACUUGUAAGUUGGGGGUGAAAUCCCGAGGCUCAACCUCGGAACUGCCUCCAAAACUACAAAUCUGGACCUAAGUAGAGGCAAGUGGAAUUGCGAGUGUAGAGGUGAAAUUCGUAGAUAUUCGCAGGAACACCAGUGGCGAAGGCGACUUGCUGGACUUAUGGUGACGCUGAGACGCGAAAGCGUGGGGAGCAAACAGGAUUAGAUACCCUUGUAGUCCCUGAGCGGGCUGGCAAGGCGCAU